GUUAAACUCCUUCCCCUACUA
rnacentral:tRNA from 1 species